GACGAACCGUCCAAACGUUAAUCGGAAUUACUGGGCUUAAAGGGUGCGUAGGCUGCGCGGAAAGUUGGGUGUGAAAUCCCUCGGCUCAACCGGGGAAUUGCAUUCAAAACUACCGUGCUCGAGGGAGACAGAGGUAAGCGGAACUCAAGGUGGAGCGGUGAAAUGCGUUGAUAUCUUGAGGAACACCGGUGGCGAAAGCGGCUUACUGGGUCUCUUCUGACGCUGAGGCACGAAAGCUAAGGUAGCAAACGGG
rnacentral:rRNA from 1 species